rnacentral:rRNA from 1 species
AACGAACGCUGGCGGCAGGCUUAACACAUGCAAGUCGAGCGCCCCGCAAGGGGAGCGGCAGACGGGUGAGUAACGCGUGGGAAUCUACCCAUCUCUACGGAAUAACGCAUGGAAACGUGUGCUAAUACCGUAUACGUCCUUCGGGAGAAAGAUUUAUCGGAGAUGGAUGAGCCCGCGUUGGAUUAGCUAGUUGGUGGGGUAAUGGCCUACCAAGGCGACGAUCCAUAGCUGGUCUGAGAGGAUGAUCAGCCACACUGGGACUGAGACACGGCCCAGACUCCUACGGGAGGCAGCAGUGGGGAAUAUCGGACAAUGGGCGAAAGCCUGAUCCAGCCAUGCCGCGUGAGUGAUGAAGGCCCUAGGGUUGUAAAGCUCUUUCAACGGUGAAGAUAAUGACGGUAACCGUAGAAGAAGCCCCGGCUAACUUCGUGCCAGCCGCCGCCGUAACAC